AACGCAAGUUGCGCCCCAAGCCAUUAGGCCGAGGGCACGUCUGCCUGGGUGUCACGCGUCGUCGCCCCCCCACACUUCGGAGCCCAUCCGGCUCCCAGUUGUGCCGGGCGGAAAUUGGCCUCCCGUGCGCUUGCGCUCGCGGUUGGCCCGAAAGGCCAGUCCUCGGCGACAAAGAGCGCCGCGACGAUCGGUGGUAACGCUUCUAGCAUGCCUCGUAGCCCGUCGCGUGCGCCCGUCGUUCGGGCGACCCUCGUGUCAAAGACCCUAUGGCGUUGCCCGUGCAACGCUCGCAUCGCGACCCCAGGUCAGGCGGGAUUACCCGCUGAGUUUAA
rnacentral:misc_RNA from 1 species